rnacentral:rRNA from 1 species
GUCUCUGGUCGUACCAUCCUGAACACACCGAACCUCAUCCAAUCUCGGAAGCUGAGCAGGAUGGUGCCUGGUUAGUGCCUGGAUGGGAGAAUUCUGGAAUCAGUGGCA